rnacentral:rRNA from 1 species
UACGGAGGAUGCGAGCGUUAUCCGGAUUUAUUGGGUUUAAAGGGUGCGUAGGCGGCCUUGUAAGUCAGCGGUGAAAUUUUGCAGCUUAACUGUAAAAGUGCCGUUGAUACUGUGAGGCUAGGAUUUGGUUGCUGUGGGUGGAAUGUGUGGUGUAGCGGUGAAAUGCUUAGAGAUCACACAGAAUAUCGAUUGCGAAGGCAGCUCACAAAGCCAAGAUUGACGCUGAGGCACGAAAGCGUGGGGAUCAAACAGGA